ACACGACUACAUUAGAUACCCGUGUAGUCCUAGCCGUAAACGAUACUCGCUAGGUGUCGGCCACGGUGCGACCGUUGUCGGUGCCGUAGGGAAGCCGUGAAGCGAGCCACCUGGGAAGUACGGCCGCAAGGCUGAAACUUAAAGGAAUUGGCGGGGGAGCACAACAACGGGUGGAGCUUGCGGUUUAAUUGGACUCAACGCCGGGAAGCUUACCGGAUAAGACAGCGGAAUGAUUGCCGGGCUGAAGACUCUGCAUGACCAGCUG
rnacentral:rRNA from 1 species